rnacentral:rRNA from 1 species
UACGUAGGGGGCUAGCGUUGUCCGGAAUCAUUGGGCGUAAAGAGCGUGUAGGCGGUCCGGUAAGUCCGUUGUGAAAGUCAGGGGCUCAACCCUUGAAUGCCGGCGGAUACUGUCGGGCUAGAGUGCGGAAGAGGCGAGUGGAAUUCCUGGUGUAGCGGUGAAAUGCGCAGAUAUCAGGAGGAACACCAAUUGCGAAGGCAGCUCGCUGGGACGUAACUGACGCUGGAGACGCGAAAGCGUGGGGGAGCAAACAGG